AACGAACGCUGGCGGCAGGCUUAACACAUGCAAGUCGAGCGCCCCGCAAGGGGAGCGGCAGACGGGUGAGUAACGCGUGGGAACGUACCCUUUUCUACGGAAUAACGCAUGGAAACGUGUGCUAAUACCGUAUACGCCCUUAGGGGGAAAGAUUUAUCGGAGAAGGAUCGGCCCGCGUUGGAUUAGCUAGUUGGUGGGGUAAAGGCCUACCAAGGCGACGAUCCAUAGCUGGUCUGAGAGGAUGAUCAGCCACAUUGGGACUGAGACACGGCCCAAACUCCUACGGGAGGCAGCAGUGGGGAAUAUUGGACAAUGGGCGCAAGCCUGAUCCAGCCAUGCCGCGUGAGUGAUGAAGGCCUUAGGGUUGUAAAGCUCUUUCACCGGUGAAGAUAAUGACGGUAACCGGAGAAGAAGCCCCGGCUAACUUCGUGCCAGCCGCCGCAGUAAAAC
rnacentral:rRNA from 1 species